GUCUCUCUCUGUCCCAAAAAUAAAUAAACGUUGAAAAAAAAAUUUAUAAAAAAUAAAAAAAAAAAAACCAAAAAGGGAUAGAUUUGGGCGAUGAUGCUAUGUCAACGUAGGUUCAUCACUGUAACAAAUGGAACACAGGUCGGGGGUGUGGAUAAUGGGGGAGGCUGUGCAUGUGUCGGGGAUACGGGGACUCUCCAUGGCUUCUGCUCAGUCUUGCUGUCGACCUGUUUUACAGAAUAAAGUCACUCAGUCAUUCAGCUCACAUGUCCUUUACUCCUUAUACUCUCCACCUCCUAUUUGCUCAAAAUGUAGAUGCUUUUCUUAAGGUCAUGAAGCAAAAAGUCAAAUCUAGGGAUGGUGAAGCAGAAAGCUAAAGCCCGGGUUGUUGAGGACCGCAUCUGAGAAGCUGCACCAGCCUCGUGGCCUUCGUGCACCCGUUUCCUUCAUGCGACAGGAGAAGGAGAAAAUGAUCAGCCAGCACCUGACUGCAACACAUCACAGCUUCACUGAGGAAACCUGUGACACUUCCACCGCUAAAGACUCUCUGCCCUUCCUCCUUGGCUCAUGGUCAACACUGAAAGGCAGUCCAAGCUAACAGCCAGCUGCCUUCUGCUGUUUCAAAGGAGGCCUAAGCCGCUGAAAGCUACCUGGAGGUCUGGGCUGGAAGUUGUGUGUGGCCAAGGGGACCGAGGGUGGGGACAUUAUUAGUCCUGUUCUUGGUCUGAAGGUCAGUUUUACAGGGACAGCAGACAGAGAAGUGGGGUGGGGAAGAAAGGUCGGACAGCCUCUUCAAGAUUCUAUAAAUAAAGGAACAGUCUCCUCCCAA